GACGAACGCUGGCGGCGUGCUUAACACAUGCAAGUCGAACGAGUGGCGAACGGGUGAGUAACACGCGGGUGAUCGGCCUUGCACUUCGGGAUAAGCUGGGGAAACUGAGUGCAAUACCGGAUCGUGCAAGAUGAGCUCGGGGCCAAUCAGCUUGUUGGUGGGGUAAUGGCUACCAAGGCGCGACGGGUAGCCGGACUUAGAGGGUGUACGGCCACAAUGGUCCUGAGAGACGGACCAGAGUCCUACGUGCGGCAGCAGUGGAGAAUAUUGCGCAAUGGUGGUAAGCCUGAUGCAGCGUCCCCGCGUGUGGGAUGAAGGCCUGCGGGUUGUAAACUCCUUUCGACAGGGACGCGGUACCUGUAUAAGAAGCACCGGCUAACUACGUGCCAGCAGCCGCGGUAAUAC
rnacentral:rRNA from 1 species